AUUUACCACUAGGGGUGCCUUUACGGAUAAAUGGUCAUUUAUCCAAAAAGGCUGAGAUCAAAGUGCGACUUUGGGACUCUAAGAACCUGAUCUGGUUUGCACCAGCGGAGGGAAGUGGCGUCGUAAAAAU
rnacentral:ncRNA from 2 species